rnacentral:lncRNA from 1 species
CAGGUAGAUAUAAUAAUUUUGUCAUUUGAAGUAUGUGAUAGAUAUUUUCGAAAAGAUGUAUACGAUUACCUUAAAUAUCAAUAUUAAUUAACGAGAACCGUAUACUCUUUCUGGUUGGUAUUCAGUGAAAACAUUCAUUCGUAGAUGAAUAAAACAAAGAAAGGUAUUAACGACUUUUGACAAGCAACGUAGAUGACUGAAAGAUUACAGGU